AGCAGCCGCGGUAAUUCCAGCUCCAAUAGCGUAUAUUAAAGUUGUUGCAGUUAAAAGCUCGUAGUUGAAUUUCGGGGUUAGUAGGUUGGUCAUGCCUCUGGUAUGUACUGGUCUCACUGAUUCCUCCUUCCUGAUGAGCCGUAAUGCCAUUAAUUUGGUGUUGCGGGGAAUUUGGACUGUUACUUUGAAAAAUUGAGUGUUUAAAGCAAGCUAACGCUUGAAUACAUUAGCAUGGAAUAAUGAAAUAGGACGUUCGAUCCUAUUUUGUUGGUUUCUAGGAUUGACGUAAUGAUUAAUAGGGAUAGUUGGGGGCAUUAGUAUUCAAUUGUCAGAGGUGAAAUUCUUGGAUUUAUUGAAGACUAACUACUGCGAAAGCAUUUGCCAAGGAUGUUUUCAUUAAUCAAGAACGAAAGUUAGGGAUCGAAGACGAUCAGAUACCGUCGUAGUCUUAACCAUAAACUAUGCCGACUAGGGAUCGGAUGAUGUUAAUUUUUAAUGUACUCAUUCGG
rnacentral:misc_RNA from 1 species